rnacentral:lncRNA from 1 species
CUACUCCUCCCCCUCUAAGUGCUCAGCUUCACCAGACCUGCCCCCAGUAUUCAGUUGGACUUCUGCUGAUGUUACCUCUAAGGUGGGUUGCCUCUCAGUUCAUCCAGAAUCUGACAGAAUGAUGUCCCUUGACUCAAGCGCUGUCACUGACUGAAGCUGAUACCAUUUCGUGUGUCUCUGGCCAGAGUCCCUACAACACCCACAGCAAGCCAGCAGGUCCACACAGGGCAUUUGCCAUCAUGACUGGGGAAAAGUGGAACGUAGCCUCUCAGUUCACACUGGCCAUGCCCUUAUGCUUCAAAUGUGUUUAAGGAGAAAAGAACUGGAGAAAGAAAAGAGAAGAAGCCAGGAAAUGCAUACAGAAAGUGAUUGACUCCACAAAGAAGAAUUGGAAAUUAACACUGCAAAAAGUGCACUGAAUUUGGAUGGCUUCCUUUUGAGGUGCAGGUACUAAGAAUAAUUACAGUCUGUCUGUGUGACUGCCCUUAUCCUGUAAAAGGAAAAAUGCCAAGCAAGGUUCUUUAUGACUUUACCUUUGGUGAUUUAUCCAGCCUUACAUUAUUUCUCACUGAAUUCACCCAGCACCAACUUCCUAUCUCUAAACCCCAAAUCCUACCACAGAGUGAUACCCCACUACUUCUCAUUGCUCAUUCACUUUCCCAUGGCUUUGCAUGUGAUGAUGCCUUUGUUUGCAACAUUCUUCUGCCCCACUUCGCUUUUUAAACUCUGACUGCCAGACUCACCUCCAGUGCUCUCUGCUUCAGAAAGCUUGCCUCUCUCCAGUUUGUUCUAGGAGAUCUGGGGUACCCAGCCUUCACAAUGGCCCCCAAUGGUUUUUACUUUCUGAUGGUAAGGUCUCCAGAUGGUCUCCUCUCCCACUGAAUAAAGCUGACCUGACCUAUGUAAUCUAUGCAAAAUUGUCAAAUGUCUGACUUUUGAGUCUAAGUCAUAAUAAAAGUAGUAAGUCCUACCUUGCUCUCUCUUCAAUCGCUUACUCUGGGGAAAGCCAGAUGCCAUAUCUUGAGAUUAUUCAGUCAUCCCUAUGGAGAAGUCAGUGUAGUAAGGCCUUGUGCCAACCACCAGCAUCAACUUGCCAGCCAUGUGAGUGAGCCAUCUUAGAAGCAAAUUCUCCAGCCCCAGGCAAGCCCUC